UACGAAGGGGGCUAGCGUUGCUCGGAAUCACUGGGCGUAAAGCGCACGUAGGCGGCUUUUUAAGUCAGAGGUGAAAUCCCUGGAGCUCAACUCCAGAACUGCCUUUGAUACUGGAGCGCUUGAGUCCGGGAGAGGUGAGUGGAACUGCGAGUGUAGAGGUGAAAUUCGUAGAUAUUCGCAAGAACACCAGUGGCGAAGGCGGCUCACUGGCCCGGUACUGACGCUGAGGUGC
rnacentral:rRNA from 1 species